UGCAUCAAAAGCUGCAAUGACUGAUUAUGGUCAUUUGGCAUGGACAGAGAUAAUUCUGUCUUUGAAGUGGAGUGUUUGGUGCUGUAUCUAUACAUGUAACAGAAAUACAUUCAGUGUUUCCCACACAAUAAUUUAUUUGUGGCCAUCCGCCAUAAUAUCAACAUUGACCGCCACAUAUUGAUUUUGUAUUUUUGGAGCUGCGCGUCCCAUUCUCAUUCACUCAAGACAGCACACCCAUCAAUGAGUAGUAUUAUGUUAUAUACUCCGAUACCGGCAGAUAGCGGUGUGAUUUUUAAUCCGCUGGUAAAACCAAGGAAGAAGAGAAGGAGACUAUUUAACACAGUUGGCCUAACUGUAACUUCCUCUGCAAAGAAGACAGCUGGUCUCAUCGACGAGAUCAAGCUCCCACAAAGAACUGUCAUCACUGAAUUGCCAUCACUGCAUGAAAAGUGGGAUUUUUGUCCGUAAGUGACACUGUAGAUUGUCGUGGAAGUUGAGGUUUACGACUGCACGUGGCAAUUUGCAGGCAACACCGAAAACUGCCGUGAAUUGUCCGAAACCCCCACCCCCUAAUUCUAGGGGAGGCUUUAACAUGUAAAUGAGAAUGCUGUGAGCUAUACAAAUGCAAAUCAGGGUAGCAGGGUGAGUUUUACCCCAGGUGACAUUUUUUAAAAAGGUAUUAACUUAAUUUUAAGAAAAUCUCUGGCAUGAAUAGAUCAGGCUCAGUAUAGCCUCAUUACAGACUCUUAAACUUUAGCUUGAAUUGAUUUAUUUAAUGAAAGUAUGCUAGAUUAAUUACUGUGUAUGUCAUUAGGAAUAGCCAAUGUUAUGUAAAAGAGAUACACAAAAUUAUUAAUUUCUUUAUUAAUUUUUUCUCUCUUGGGAAGUUAAGACGCCAUUUGUUAAGAAGCUGAAAUUUGCAUGAAAUAUUUUGAGAUAAAUAAGAUACUAAAAUGUAUAAAUAAUUUCUGUUUAAAAUGUGUGACUUUAAAAUCUAAUUUCAUGGGUUCUGAAUGUUUAAAAGAAGUUUAAAAAAAUCAACUCUUAUUACAUGUGAGAGUUCAUGACUUUUAAGAGAUUUGUACUUCCAGGUAGACUGGAGCGUGAGGAAGAAGAAGCCAAGGAUUAUUGGCAUGGAGCAGCUAACAGAGGACUGUGUGUGUCUUCGGUGUCAUGUUUUAUCACUAAAGGACUGUGGACUGUUGUCGGACAACUUGCUGCGAGUGUGUGAGUUGGACUCUUCAUUGCAGCUGAAGUGUUUGUGUUUUAUUGGACAAGCAAGUUCAGCUAAGCUAGCUAGCAGGAGCAAGCGGCCCGGUCUUUGUUGAGAUAGGCCUGCGCUGACGGGAGGAGCUUUGCCGGGUUGCCGCGGAGAGUGUCGCUGACAGAGAGCGCUUCUCUGCCGCAGAGAGACACGGAGGUUUAUCAUUUUGUUUAUCGUAUUUUGUUUUCACAGACUAACCUCGCCUCAUAACGAGGCCAUAACCUCCUAUAUGUCUGCAAGUCCAGAUUUACAUGAUGCUGAUAAUGACGCCGUUGUGUGUAAGCAACUUUUGAUGUUUUCUUCUUCCUUGUUUGAUUUUACUGUGACUUAGGUUUUUUAUUCAUUCCACUCUCAUUUAAUUGUUUUCCAGCUGCCUGUAAGACAUUACGAGACAGUGUGCAGGAGCUUCAGGUACAAACAACCAGAUCUUGCAUCGCAGGCGGAAGCUGUGAAGAGUUCAGCUCAGAGUUGAUCGAGAAGAAAGAGGCUGCUGGAUGCGAGACAGAAGCCCCUUUUAGAUAGAAAUGCUGCCAGGUAAAGGCGUCAAUCUGCCGCCUUGUCUUUCUAAAAUGGAGGUGUAACAUUCCUCCUUUUCCAAAAGCUACCACUUGGCUGCCACAGGGGUAGGCGUAAACAUGCACCGUGAUGUGAAGCACAAAGUUGGGAACAGUGACAAUAAAUUUGUCUUCAGAAUAAGAGCUUUGGAGUUUAGAGCUGGGUUCUUAGUGUGGGGCUUUUGAUUUGAAAGUAGCAACCGGACUCAACCAAACAGCUACAGAGACUGAGGAGAUGCGUGCAUCUCGUGGAUCUCAGCCGCUGUCCAGUUGCUCAUGUUGAUGUCCAUGGAUGAAGUGAUGGACUGACUGCUGUGAUCAGCUGUUUCUUGGUUUUAAAACUCCCCGGCAGACAACGCAAAUUUUCCUUUCCUCAAUAAAUUAAUUCAUGUCCUUGA